UUGAGCGUUCUGGUCACAAACCCCCAAAGCUACCAAACUUCCCAUUUCAAUGGCGACUCUAGUAAAAGUGUACGGUCCAUCCAUGUCCACAGCUGUGUCCAGGGUCUUUGCCUCUCUCUAUGAGAAAAAUUUCGAGUUCCAGCUCUUCUACAUUAACAUGUUACAUGUCUAACGGCAAACACAAAAAGGCCUGAGUUCCUCAAGCUCCAGAGUACAUGUCUGGUGGAAGCGUUUAUGACUUUCUGCAUAAACAAAAGGGUGUUUUCACACACCCAACCUUAAUCAGAGUAGCCAUUGAUGUUUCCAAGGGAAUGAACUAGUUGCAUCACAAUAAUAUAAUCCAUCGGGACCUGGAAAUUGCCAAUCUUUUGAUAGAUGGAAAUGGAACUGGAGGGCAGCUGCAUGCAUUCCUGUCCUUGAUUUAUUGGUUCUUCUGGAUGGGAGCUUUGUUAGGUUGUCAAGAUUGCUGAUUUUGGCAUUGCUAGAAAUGCAGCUCAAUCUUGUGUUAUGACUGCCGAAACAGAACAUACCGUUGGAUGGCUCCAGAGGUUAUCAAACACAAAACAUAUGAUCACAAAGUGGAUGUUUUCAGCUUUGGAGUUCUAGUGUGGGAGUUGCUUACAGGAAAGGUAAUUUGCCACUUUGUUGGUAGUUAUAAUGAGUGCUGGUGAAGAAAAUAUAACUCUCUUCAGAUAAUUACUUUGCUAUAUCUUCUAAAAAAUAAUGGUUGCACAGACUUCAUAUCAAUCAUCUUGUUUUCUGACUAAAAUGCCAUCUCCCAUAUGAGCACUUGACCCCAAUACAAGCAGCAGUUGGUGUGGUUCAGAAGGUAUUCCUCUAUUAAAAUUUUUGACAUUGUAAAAUUGCACAGAAAAGACUUCCUCUCAAAGAGGUCUCCAUAAAAUUCUGGGAAAAUGUCAAUGAUUGCUGUCUUAAUAAAAUCUUGUUAAUCUUCUUCUACCCCAACAACAUCUUCUGUUUCUGUCUUUGUCUAGGUCUUUGUUUUUGUGUGCAUGUGAUUUCCCCUUUUGGUUCAAGGGAGAAUUUUAGUUCAUCAUCAUCCCCUUUUUCACCAACAAUAUAAUUUGUUCUAGCCCUGGAAUCUAUGACCACUGAGCAGGUGACACAACUACCUAACCUCCAUGCCUACAAAGAGGGUUUUGGUCCAUUCUGAAGAAUGAGUAUGCUGGGAAAAUCACAUCUGGACCAAGAACCUGCUGGUAUAGCUGUUUGUUUGAAGAGUAGGGUAUUUCUUAUUUUUGAGAGAUUUUAAAAAAAAGAAGAAAAAAACGAAAGUACUUAACUGGGCAUUGCAGACUAGUGGAAGACAGAAAGAUCUUAAGUUAAUAUAGAGAUUUGGUGACAUGAAUUUCAGGGUCUGAGGCCUACAAUUCCAUAGCAGACUCCUCCAAAGCUUGGGGAAUCACUUGAGAGAUAUUGGCAGCAAGAUCUAUCUUUAAGACCAGAAUUCUCAGAAAUUUUAGAAAUUUGCAGCACAUGGCCUAGAGGGUUGCAGAAGAGAGAAUGGACCGGCAGAAGGUGAAAUCACUUAGAAGAGUAUCUGCUUUUGUAUGGAGUGUCGAUUGAAGUGCAACUGGCAAGUGAGAAGGCUGUUUAUAACACAUGUUAAUGAUGUAAUAAUCUUGUUUUGCUGAGUUCCUUUCACUUUGUUUUUUCUCCAUUUGGAACUCUCUGUUGUUAAUCCAACUAAUGACUAGAUAUUGCCUGAACAGUCACUGAAUUUAGUAAUAAUCCAAACAUUUCUU